rnacentral:rRNA from 1 species
GCCUGCGACCAAAUCAACCUGGAUGCGUCCGCCCUUACUGGUGGAUUUCAGAACCAAGCAGGGCUGAGGCUGGUUAGUUACAUCAAUGGCAGACUGCCGGAGAAUACCAGGUGUUGUCAGCU